UACGGGGGGGGCAAGCGUUGUUCGGAAUUACUGGGCGUAAAGAGCGCGCAGGCGGUCGUUCAAGUCGAGUGUGAAAGCCCCCGGCUCAACUGGGGAGGGUCAUUCGAUACUGAUCGACUCGAAGGCAGGAGAGGGUAGUGGAAUUCCCGGUGUAGUGGUGAAAUGCGUAGAGAUGUGGAGGAACACCGAUGGCGAAGGCAGCCCCCUGGGUCAAGAUUGACGCUCAUGCACGAAAGCGUGGGGAGCAAACAGG
rnacentral:rRNA from 1 species